AUUAUUUUAAAAAGUUUGAAAUCUGUUUUAGGUGAGAGAAAUCAUGUUUGCGCUGUAUGCUCCAAAGGAUUCUUCCAAAAAAACACCUUAAAAGUUCAUAUGAGGAUUCAUACAGGGGAAAAACCGUUUUCUUGUAACGUCUGCCAUAAAUCGUUUUCACAGUCUGGGCCUUAUUGUAUUCAUAUCAAAACACAUUGUACCGAAGAGACGUGUACUACACAGCAAACUGAGGGCAAAUCAGGAGAUGCAAAUUAUUUGUAAAUUUGUGCUUUACAUCUGAUAUAUGUUAUCGCAUAAACUAAUAAAUAUUGUCUACUUUGUACAUUU
rnacentral:lncRNA from 1 species